AUUGAACGCUGGCGGCGUGCUUAACACAUGCAAGUCGAGCGGUAAGGCCCUUUCGGGGGUACGACGAGCGGCGAACGGGUGAGUAACACGUGGGUGACCUGCCCUCAGCUCUGGGAUAAGCCUGGGAAACCGGGUCUAAUACCGGAUAUGACUCCAUGACGCAUGUUGUGGGGUGGAAAGCCUUGUGCGGCUGAGGAUGGGCCCGCGGCCUAUCAGCUUGUUGGGGGGGUGA
rnacentral:rRNA from 1 species